AUUGAACGCUGGCGGCAGGCUUAACACAUGCAAGUCGAGCGAGCGGCGGACGGGUUAGCAAUGUCUGGGAAACUGCCUGCUGGAGGGGGAUAACUACUGGAAACGGUAGCUAAUACCGCAUACUAUCCGCUCUGCCCAGAUGGCAUUAGCUAGUAGGUGGGGUAAUGCCUCACCUAGGCGACGAUCCAUAGCUGGUCUGAGAGGAUGACCAGCCACACUGAAACUAAGACACGGUCCAGACGCCUACGGGAGGCAGCAGUGGGGAAUAUUGGACAAGGGGCGCAAGCCUGAUGCAGCAAUGCCGCGUGUGUGAAGAAGGCCUUCGGAUUGUAAAGAACUAUCAGCGAGGAGGGGUUACUCGCAGAAGAAGCACCGGCUAACUCCGUGCCAGCAGCCGCGGUAAUAC
rnacentral:rRNA from 1 species